rnacentral:rRNA from 1 species
UACGGGGGAUCCGAGCGUUAUCCGGAUUUAUUGGGUUUAAAGGGUGCGCAGGCGGGAGAUUAAGUCGGCGGUGAAAUUUUGCAGCUCAACUGUAAAAGUGCCUUCGAAACUGGUUUCCUUGAGUGUAGAUGAAGUAGGCGGAAUUUGUGGUGUAGCGGUGAAAUGCAUAGAUAUCACGAGGAACUCCGAUUGCGCAGGCAGCUUACUAAACUACUACUGACGCUCAGGCACGAAGGCGUGGGGAUCAAACAGGAUUAGAUACCCCCCGUAGUCCCUGA